AGGACUGUAGUUAAGUAUAACAUUUGGUUUGCAUCUAAAAAGUAUUGGUUUAACCAAUCUGUCUUA
rnacentral:tRNA from 1 species